AAUGAACGCUGGCGGCAUGCCUAACACAUGCAAGUCGAACGAAGGCUUCGGCCUUAGUGGCGCACGGGUGCGUAACGCGUGGGAAUCUGCCCUUGGGUUCGGAAUAACAGUUAGAAAUGACUGCUAAUACCGGAUGAUGUCGUGAGACCAAAGAUUUAUCGCCCAAGGAUGAGCCCGCGUAGGAUUAGCUAGUUGGUGGGGUAAAGGCCCACCAAGGCGACGAUCCUUAGCUGGUCUGAGAGGAUGAUCAGCCACACUGGGACUGAGACACGGCCCAGACUCCUACGGGAGGCAGCAGUGGGGAAUAUUGGACAAUGGGCGAAAGCCUGAUCCAGCAAUGCCGCGUGAGUGAUGAAGGCCUUAGGGUUGUAAAGCUCUUUUACCCGGGAUGAUAAUGACAGUACCGGGAGAAUAAGCUCCGGCUAACUUCGUGCCAGCCGCCGCCGUAACAC
rnacentral:rRNA from 1 species